UACGUAGGGGGCAAGCGUUGUCCGGAUUUAUUGGGCGUAAAGAGCGUGUAGGCGGUUAGGUAGGUCCGUUGUGAAAACUCGAGGCUCAACCUCGAGACGCCGAUGGAAACCAUCUGACUAGAGUCCGGAAGAGGAGAGUGGAAUUCCUGGUGUAGCGGUGAAAUGCGCAGAUAUCAGGAGGAACACCAAUGGCGAAGGCAGCUCACUGGGACGGUAUUGACGCUGAGACGCGAAAGCGUGGGGAGCAAACAGG
rnacentral:rRNA from 1 species